rnacentral:rRNA from 1 species
GACGAACGCUGGCGGCGUGCCUAAUACAUGCUAGUCGAACGCUUUUUCUUUCACCGGAGCUUGCUCCACCGAAAGAAAAAGAGUGGCGAACGGGUGAGUAACACGUGGGUAACCUGCCCAUCAGAAGGGGAUAACACUUGGAAACAGGUGCUAAUACCGUAUAACACUAUUUUCCGCAUGGAAGAAAGUUGAAAGGCGCUUUUGCGUCACUGAUGGAUGGACCCGCGGUGCAUUAGCUAGUUGGUGAGGUAACGCCUCACCAAGGCAACGAUGAAGCACCGACCUGGGAGGGUGAUCGGCCACACUGGGACUGAGACACGGGCCAGACUCCUACGGGAGGCAGCAGUAGGGAAUCUUCGGCAAUGGACGAAAGUCUGACCGAGCAACGCCGCGUUAGUGAAGAAGGUUUUCGGAUCGUAAAACUCUGUUGUUAGAGAAGAACAAGGAUGAGAGUAAAACGUUCAUCCCUUGACGGUAUCUAACCAGAAAGCCACGGCUAACUACGUGCCAGCCGCCGCCGUAA